CUGCAGCUAACUAAACCUGCCAGAUCUCAGUCCUCAUGGGGCCUGGUAUAUAAUGGCUAUGAAUAGCAGCCUCAGUGGUAGCGAAUAUAGCCUGUUCCCUAAAUGGGUUUCCCUAAGAAAUCUUGGAUACAGUU
rnacentral:snoRNA from 1 species